UAGUAAAAUUUGCUAGAUCGUCCACCUCC
rnacentral:piRNA from 1 species